GGCGGCUCUUCCUUUUUGUUUUGUGUUUGAAUCAGAUUUGGUGGUCUCGAUUUUACAGGCAUGUGUUGAUCUUGGUCUUGUUCUGUAUGCAGGUAGGGUACACUUGAUGUUUCAUGUUUGGUGAAAGAAAAGGAGCUUCCUAUGUUGAUUUCGGGCAAGACAUACAUUCUGCCAUGCAUUAGUAGAUCAAUUGCUUCUUUGUGUAGGGGAACGAUUAGUGAUUGAAUCUCUCUGUCUUGUUUCUUGAUUAUCCAAUUAGUUUACCCUCAUCUAUGCAUAAAUUGGUCCGAUUGAGUUAUGCCAUUUUUUUAAUAAUCUAUAUUGGUUUUAUAUAUGACUAGAACAAUAUGAUACGAUGCACAUCGGUCCACUUUACUGGCAGCUAUCCUUCAAGAUUGAGGGGAGGCACUCUUGUGGACCUGCUCAAUGUUCGAGGAGAUACGGCUGACUAAACAAGGUUAUUUUAAAGUUCUGUGUGGUUCAUGUUAGCUAUCUAUCAGUAAUAGUACAACCUUGAUUUUUAUGUCGUUCAGGUUUACCUAACCAUCAGUAACAUUACUUUCUAUUGGAGACUUCUUACAGGAGGUGCUUAUAAAAUGAUAGUUGAACAUGUACAGAGUUUGGAUCACGAUCAUCUAUUUACCAGGCAUCAGUUAACUCAAGGCAUCGAUCAAAAUCUAGCAUUCUUUGUUGUGUGCAUCAUGGAGAAGACAAAGAACAGAGAUUGUGUGAUAUAUCCGAUAACGCAAUAUAAUUUUCUCUUGCAUAUUUAUAAUCUGCCAUUUGAAUGAUGUUUUCUGUGUUGUAGUCAAAUCAAGACAAUUUGCAACUUUGGUGUUAUGACGUUGGAGGCCGUGCUCAACAGCAAUGGGGGACUGUUCGUUGAUGCCCGACCCACGAUGCCGGCGAAGGAAUGAGAGUCGACGAGGAGUGGACGCCAUGGGUUCGUGAACUGGCGAAGCCUCCGUUGUCCGUUUGGUAAUGUCCGACGCAUUAGAGGCAUAGUAUGACUUGUCUCGAUUAUGAUGUCGUCCACAAACAUCCAACGGAGGGGAACCCGUCCCAGUUUCCAUCUUGAUGGUAAGUUCUCUAAUCUUCUAUCUCAUGGGAUGUGAUGUUGUUGCCUUCAUUUUGGCUUUUGACAAAGGGUUGAAAUUAGCUUAUGUGCUUCCGACAAUUAAAAUUCCAGUGAUAUUUCCAGCAAUAUAUAAUUUCUAAAUCAUUUCCAGCAAUUUGUGAGUUGUUUGCUUGCUCAACCUUACGCUGGGAUCAUGUCUACAGACUACAAAUAGAGGGAAGUUGGCCUGUGCCUUACUAGAGACAAAUGAACCAAUAAAAUGAUUGGAAAGGUUCUUCCCAAGCAAAAGGUAAGCUGAAUCUUGUACAGUUUACUUCAUAAUAUAUUUUGGUCAGCAUGGUGUUUAUUUUCUGAAAUUGAUACUCCAUUGUAGAUUACCUAUGAUGAAAAUUACAUUCUCUGCGGGCGCUGAUUCUGAUAUAUUACUAUGGGCAAAGGAAGUUCAAAAUUUAUCUCAAUCAAACAUGUGCAAAGGAAAAUCCAAAAUAUGUUAUGUUAGUAAAAGAUUCUUAAACCAGUGCGUUGCCACGGGCUAACAAAUCCAAAACAUGUUAUGUCAGUAAAAGAUUCUCAUUUGAAUGAUGUUUUCUGUGUCCUCGGAUCACCAGGACGCCGCCGUCGCCUCGUAUCCCCACACGCCGCUAGCAUGGCCGUGACAACUGAUGAGCACGCUCCACCCCCAUUCCUGCCACAGGUCUUCACAUUCGAGGCUGCCUCCUCAUUCCUUUCUCUAAUCUUUCAUUCAACUACUCGAAGUAAACAAACCAUUUCUUCUCUUCUGUAUGUAGAUGAAGAAAAGUAGGCUCAAUCGGGCCAUGACUAGAGUUGAAGAAGGCUCAGGCAGAUGGUGAUACUCUCAAACCAGGUACGAGCAUGAUCCCUUUUCACCCCUACAGCUCUUGCAUGCCUUCAAAGCAUCUGAUCUUGGUUGUUGCAACCCUCCUUGUCCUUGAUGCGGACAAAAUUGAUAGGGUUGUCCUGAUUCCUUAUGUCUUAUUUUUCAUGUUCUACUUUGCCUUCAUGUGUGCUUCUUCAAGCAGAUGGACUUUGAGAUCCCGCUCAAAAUUUGGGCUAAAAUGUGGUUAUAUUAUUAAAACUUCAAUCAAUUGUAAGACUGAGAAAUAUGUAGUUGGUCAAGCAGCCUCAGCUUAUAGUUGAGAGCGCCCAGGGCUGAUUGACAACUAUGUAGGUCAGUUUAACCUCGGUUAUGGAUGCUCGCACAUAAACUUUGCCCUGGGAAGACACCAUAGCAUGUACAAGGAUUAGGCUUGUUAUUUUUUGUAUUGAAGACAGUAUUCAUGGUAGCAUGCAUUUUCACUUUUUUUUGUAAGAGACCCCAACCCGGUAACCAAGACAUGGAAAAGUGGAGUGCGACCGUAAAAAAUGCUCAUCAAAUUGCUGGCUCCAUGUUGCCUAUCCACUGUCAUCAUACUUGUCUGCAUCAAAACGUCUCCGUUGAUGUUGAAUAUGAAACAGUUGCCACUGUCCCACCAGCAACACCGA
rnacentral:lncRNA from 1 species